UCUUGAUUGGUCUAGUGGUAAGGAUACCUGCUUGUCAUUGUCACUCAAAUGAUCUAGAAUCCACGAUAGUGGGACAUAGCAAUCAUGGCAACAAGCCGCAGGUGGCCGGGGUUCGAUUCCCCGAUCGAGAG